rnacentral:rRNA from 1 species
AGGGCACCACCAGGAGUGGAGCCUGCGGCUUAAUUUGACUCAACACGGGAAACCUCACCAGGCCCAGACACCGGGAGGAUUGACAGAUUGAGAGCUCUUCCUUGAUUCGGUGGGUGGUGGUGCAUGGCCGUUCUUAGUUGGUGGAGCGAUUUGUCUGGUUAAUUCCGAUAACGAACGAGACUCUAGCCUGCUAAAUAGUCGCAUCCGGUAUCCUCUGUGCUACCGGCGACCAACAAUCUUCUUAGAGGGACAGGCGGCUUCUAGCCGCACGAGAUUGAGCAAUGACAGGUCUGUGAUGCCCUUAGAUGUUCUGGGCCGCACGCGCGCUACACUGAAGGAAUCAGCGUGUCCUCCCUGGCCGAAAGGUCCGGGUAACCCGCUGAACCUCCUUCGUGCUAGGGAUUGGGGCUUGCAAUUGUUCCCCACGAACGAGGAAUUCCCAGUAAGCGCGAGUCAUAAGCUCGCGUUGAUUACGUCCCUGCCCUUUGUACACACCGCCCGUCGCUACUACCGAUUGAA